GCGUUGGUGGUUUGGUGGUAGAAUUCUCUCCUUCCAUGCAAGAGACAUAGGUUCCAUUCCUGGCCAAUGCA
rnacentral:tRNA from 1 species